rnacentral:rRNA from 1 species
AGGGGAUCUUCGGACCUUUCGCUAUGAGAUGAGCCUGCGUUAGAUUAGCUAGUUGGUAGGGUAAAGGCCUACCAAGGCGACGAUCUAUAGCUGGUCUGAGAGGACGAUCAGCCACACUGGGACUGAGACACGGCCCAGACUCCUACGGGAGGCAGCAGUGGGGAAUAUUGGACAAUGGGCGAAAGCCUGAUCCAGCAAUACCGCGUGUGCGAAGAAGGCCCUAGGGUUGUAAAGCACUUUCAAUUGGGAGGAAAACCCACCGGCCAAUACCCGGUGGCUUGACAUUACCUUUAGAAGAAGCACCGGCUAACUCCGUGCCAGCAGCCGCGGUAAUACGGAGGGUGCGAGCGUUAAUCGGAAUUACUGGGCGUAAAGCGUGCGUAGGCGGCCCGUUAAGUCAGAUGUGAAAGCCCCGGGCUCAACCUGGGAACUGCAUUUGAAACUGGCGGGCUAGAGUUUGGUAGAGGGGAGCGGAAUUUCAGGUGUAGCGGUGAAAUGCGCAGAUAUCUGAAGGAACACCAGUGGCGAA